GACGAACGCUGGCGGCGUGCUUAACACAUGCAAGUCGAACGGAAAGGCCCUGCUUUUGUGGGGUGCUCGAGUGGCGAACGGGUGAGUAACACGUGAGUAACCUGCCCUUGACUUUGGGAUAACUUCAGGAAACUGGGGCUAAUACCGGAUAGGAGCUCCUGCUGCAUGGUGGGGGUUGGAAAGUUUCGGCGGUUGGGGAUGGACUCGCGGCUUAUCAGCUUGUUGGUGGGGUAGUGGCUUACCAAGGCUUUGACGGGUAGCCGGCCUGAGAGGGUGACCGGCCACCUUGGGACUGAGAUACGGCCCAGACUCCUACGGGAGGCAGCAGUGGGGAAUAUUGCACAAUGGGAGGAAGCCUGAUGCAGCAACGCCGCGUGCGGGAUGACGGCCUUCGGGUUGUAAACCGCUUUCGCCUGUGACGAAGCGUGAGUGACGGUAAUGGGUAAAGAAGCACCGGCUAACUACGUG
rnacentral:rRNA from 1 species